rnacentral:rRNA from 1 species
GCUCUUCCGAUCUAGCAUACGGCGGAUGCCUUGGCGAUAUCUGCCGACGAAGGACGCGACAAGCUGCGAUAAGUCACGGGGAGGUGCAAAUGACCGUUGAUCCGUGAAUUUCCGAAUGGAGCAAUCCGGCUGUGGUUAUGCACAGUCACCCAUGCCAUUGAGUAUGGGAGGGAACCGGGCGAACUGAAACAUCUAAGUAGCCCGAGGAGAAGAAAUCAAACGAGAUACCCCAAGUAGCGGCGAGCGAACGGGGCAGAAGCCCAAACCGGAGAAGGAAACUUUUCCGGGGUUGAGGACCGUCAGACGAUAAGGAAGCCCAGCCGAAUCCCCUGGGAAGGGGAGCCGGAGAAUGUGAAAGCCAUGUAGGCGAAGGGCGGAUAAGGACAGACGGCACCAGAGUACCGCGGGACACGAGAAACCCCGUGGGAAGCCGGGGGGACCACCCUCCAAGGCAAAACACAGAUAUCGACCGAUAGCGCAUAGUACCAUGAGGGAAAGGUGAAAAGCACCCCGGGAGGGGAAUGAAAGAGAACCUGAAACCGUAUGUUUACAAGCAGUCGGAGACCGUAUAUAUACCAGGUCGACGGCGUGCCUAUUGAAGAAUGAACCGGCGAGUUAUGAGGUCCAGCAAGGUUAAGCAGGAAAUGCGGAGCCGAAGCGAAAGCGAGUCUUAAUAGGGCGAUAAGUUGGAUUGCAUAGACCCGAAACCACAGUGAUCUACCCAUGUCCAGGCUGAAACACAGGUAAAAAUGUGCGGAGGGCCGAACCUAUAUCCGUUGAAAAGGGUUAGGAUGAGGUGUGGGUAGGGGUGAAAUUCCAAUCGAACGUGGAGAUAGCUGGUUCUCCCCGAAAUAGCUUUAGGGCUAGCCUCGAGGUAGAGAUUGCAGGCGGUAGAGCACUGAUCAGGAGAGGGACCUACCCGGUUACCAAACCCAGUCAAACUGCGAAUGGCUGCAAUUAUACUCGGGAGUCAGACUACGACUUAUAAGGGCCGUGGUCAAAAGGGAAACAGCCCAGAUCAUCAGCUAAGGUCCCAAAUGCCGUGCUAAGUGGCGAAGGAUGUGGCGUUUCAUAAACAACCAGGAUGUUGGCUCAGAAGCAGCCACCAUUUAAAGAGUGCGUAAUAGCUCACUGGUCGAGAGACGCUGCGCCGAAAAUGUCCGGGGCUCAAGCACGGAACCGAAGCUAUGGCAUGACAGCAAUGUCAUGGGUAGGGGAGCGUUCUUAUAAGGAAGAAGCAUUACCGUAAGGAGAUGUGGACAUAUAAGAAGUGAGAAUGCCGGUAUGAGUAUCGAAAAGAAAGGUGAGAAUCCUUUCCACCGAAAGCCCGAGGGUUCCUGAGCAACGAUCGUCGACUCAGGGUAAGUCGGGACCUAAGCCGAGGCGGAGACGCAUAGGCGAUGGACAACAGGUUGAAAUUCCUGUACCGGAUGGAGUCAUUUGAGCAAAGGAGCGACGCAGGAGGGCACAUGAUCGCGCGGCUGGAAGAGCGCGUCCAAGUGCGUAUGCGUAGAGGGAGGCAAAUCCCCCUUUACAGAAGCAGAGACAUGAUGGGGAGUUAAAGGAGACUUUGACGAACUCAUGGAUCCCACACUGCCAAGAAAAACUUCUAGCGAGACGAAAUCCGCCCGUACCGUAAACCGACACAGGUAGGCGGGGAGAGAAUCCUAAGGUGCGCGGGAAAACCCUCGUUAAGGAACUCGGCAAAUUGCAUCCGUAACUUCGGGAGAAGGAUGACCCUGAGUAGGCGAAAGGGAGAAACCCCCGGAACAGAAAAGGGUGGCAGAAAAGAGGCCCAAGCAACUGUUUACCAAAAACACAGGUGCCUGCGAAAGCGAAAGCUGAAGUAUAGGUGCUGACGCCUGCCCGGUGCUGGAAGGUUAAGGAGAGAGGUCAGCGAAAGCGAAGCUUUGAACUGAAGCCCCAGUGAACGGCGGCCGUAACGAUAACGGUCCUAAGGUAGCGAAAUUCCUUGUCAGGUAAGUUCUGACCCGCA